AGAGUUUGAUCCUGGCUCAGGACGAACGCUGACGGUGUGCUUUAGGCAUGCAAGUCGAACGAGAAAGCCCUUCGGGGUGAGUAAAGUGGCGAACGGGUGAGUAACACGUGGGCAACCUGCCCCUCGCAGGGGGACAACCGGAGGAAACUCCGGCUAAUACCCCGUACGCUUGUUGAGUCGCAUGGCUCGUCAAGGAAAGGUAGCUUCGGCCAUCCGGCGAGGGAUGGGCCCGCGGUGCAUUAGCUAGUUGGUGGGGUAACGGCCCACCAAGGCGACGAUGCGUAGCUGGUCUGAGAGGAUGAUCAGCCACACUGGGACUGAGACACGGUCCAGACUCCUACGGGAGGCAGCAGUGGGGAAUUUUGGACAAUGGGCGCAAGCCUGAUCCAGCCAUGCCGCGUGCGGGAAGAAGGCCUUCGGGUUGUAAACCGCUUUUGUCAGGGAAGAAACGGUCUGGAUUAAUACCCCGGACUAAUGACGGUACCUGAAGAAUAAGCCUCGGCUAACUACGUGCCAGCAGCGGCGGUAAUAC
rnacentral:rRNA from 1 species